ACUCCUACGGGAGGCAGCAGUGGGGAAUUUUGGACAAUGGGCGAAAGCCUGAUCCAGCAAUGCCGCGUGAGUGAAGAAGGCCUUCGGGUUGUAAAGCUCUUUUGUCAGGGAAGAAACGGUGAAAGCUAAUAUCUUUUGCUAAUGACGGUACCUGAAGAAUAAGCACCGGCUACCUACGUGCCAGCAGCCGCGGUAAUACGUAGGGUGCAAGCGUUAAUCGGAAUUACUGGGCGUAAAGCGUGCGCAGGCGGUUUUUGAAGUCUGAUGUGAAAUCCCCGGGCUCAACCUGGGAAUUGCAUUGGAGACUGCAAGGCUAGAAUCUGGCAGAGGGGGGUAGAAUUCCACGUGUAGCAGUGAAAUGCGUAUAUAUGUGGAGGAACACCGAUGGCGAAGGCAGCCCCCUGGGUCAAGAUUGACGCUCAUGCACGAAAGCGUGGGGAGCAAACAGGAUUAGAUACCCCUGUAGUCCCAUG
rnacentral:rRNA from 1 species